rnacentral:rRNA from 1 species
UACGUAGGGUGCAAGCGUUGUCCGGAAUUUAUUGGGCGUAAAGAGCUCGUAGGCGGUCUGUCGCGUCUGCUGUGAAAACUCAGGGCUUAACCCUGAGCUUGCAGUGGGUACGGGCAGACUAGAGUGCGGUAGGGGAGACUGGAAUUCCUGGUGUAGCGGUGAAAUGCGCAGAUAUCAGGGAGGGAACACCGGUGGGCGAAAGGCGGGGUCUCUGGGC